ACAGGGAACAGAUCAGAAAGCAGCAGAAGGGACCAAAUGCAGAAUGUCUGCCCAACUCCAGCCUCUGUCUGUACCAUGUGUGAAUAGGCUACUGGUGGAGACUUAGGCAGAUGUUUCCAGCAGGAGUCAUGCAGCACGUUUGUGGGGUCAGAAACGUGCAUCAAAAUCCCUGGCAUCUACCAUGCAUGGCAGAAAUGAGUGAUCUGCCUAGUAGGUCACAUCCGCAUUUCCACGUGGGAGGGCCUACAGAUAUCCAGGUUGCCAUUUGGAACCAGUGAUAUGUGAAAGCUGGACAAUGAAGAAGACUGCCAGGAGAAAAAUGGAUUCAAUUGAAAUAUGGUGUUGGAAGAGACCCCUACGGAUACCCUGGACUUCCAGAAAGAUGGACAGGUGGGUCCUGGAGUAAAGUAAGCCUGAACUAUCACUGGAGACAAAAAGGAUAAAAGUGAGCCUGUCCUACUUUGGGCACAUCGUGAGAAGGCGGGAUUCUUUGGAAAACACAAUAAUGCUGGAAAAGUAGAAGGCAGCACGAAAAGAGGAAGACCAAAUCUGAGAUGGAUUGACUCUAUAAAGGAAGCCAUAGCCCUGCGUCUACAGGAGCUGAGCAGGGCUGUUGAGGACAGGACAUUGUGGACGUCACUCACUCAUAGGGUUGCCAGGAGUUGGAGCCUACUUGAUGGCACGUAACAACGAUAUCAAUGUUUAUUGGAAAAUAAUACAGUAUCAAUGUCAGUUGUCUUAUUUUGAUAAUUGUCCUGUGGGUAUGUAUAAGAAUAUCCUUAAUUUAGAAAACACGCAUUGAAGUAUUAUGGAGUAAAGAGCACGAUGUCUGCAACUUACUCUCAAACAGUUCAGAAAAUGUGUGUGUGUGUGUGUAUG
rnacentral:lncRNA from 1 species